rnacentral:rRNA from 2 species
GUUGAUCCUGCCAGACCUGACUGCUAUCGGAUUGAUACUAAGCCAUGCGAGUCAUUGUAGCAAUACAAGGCAGACGGCUCAGUAACGCGUAGUCAACCUAACCUAUGGACGGGAAUAACCUCGGGAAACUGAGAAUAAUGCCCGAUAGAACACUAUAUCUGGAAUGGUUUGUGUUCCAAAUGAUUUAUCGCCGUAGGAUGGGACUGCGGCCUAUCAGUUUGUUGGUGAGGUAAUGGCCCACCAAGACUAUUACAGGUACGGGCUCUGAGAGGAGUAGCCCGGAGAUGGGUACUGAGACACGGACCCAGGCCCUAUGGGGCGCAGCAGGCGAGAAAACUUUGCAAUGUGCGAAAGCACGACAAGGUUAAUCCGAGUGGUUUGUGCUAAACGAACCUUUUGUCGGUCCUAGAAACACUAACGAAUAAGGGGUGGGCAAGUUCUGGUGUCAGCCGCCGCGGUAAAACCAGCACCUCAAGUGGUCAGGAUGAUUAUUGGGCCUAAAGCAUCCGUAGCCGGCUCUGUAAGUUUUCGGUUAAAUCUGUACGCUCAACGUACAGGCUGCCGGGAAUACUGCAGAGCUAGGGAGUGGGAGAGGUAGACGGUACUCGGGAGGAAGUGGUAAAAUGCUUUGAUCUCUCGAUGACCACCUGUGGCGAAGGCGGUCUACCAGAACACGUCCGACGGUGAGGGAUGAAAGCUGGGGGAGCAAACCGGAUUAGAUACCCGGGUAGUCCCAGCUGUAAACUAUGCAAACUCAGUGAUGCAUUGGCUUGUGGCCAAUGCAGUGCUGCAGGGAAGCCGUUAAGUUUGCCGCCUGGGAAGUACGUACGCAAGUAUGAAACUUAAAGGAAUUGGCGGGGGAGCACCACAAGGGGUGAAGCCUGCGGUUCAAUUGGAUUCAACGCCGGA